rnacentral:lncRNA from 1 species
UCAUUCAUUCAGCGAUUUCUCCAGAAUUCAUGCAGCUUUCAACUUCUUGAGCAUCUCCAUACAAGAAACUGCGUGGGCACAGAGAUGAUUCAGUGUAGAUGCAGCCA